AUUGAACGCUGGCGGCAGGCCUAACACAUGCAAGUCGAACGAGUGGCGGACUGGUGAGUAAUGUCUGGGAAACUGCCCGAUGGAGGGGGAUAACUACUGGAAACGGUAGCUAAUACCGCCUACCAUCGGAUGUGCCCAGAUGGGAUUAGCUAGUAGGGGGGGUAAUGGCUCACCUAGGCGACGAUCCCUAGCGGGUCUGAGAGGAUGACAAGCAACACGGGAACUGAGACACGGUCCAGACGCGUACGGGAGGCAGAAGUGGGGAAUAUUGCACAAUGGGCGCAAGCCUGAUGCAGCAAGGCCGCGUGUAGGAAGAAGGCCUUCGGGUUGUAAAGUACUUUAAGCGAGGAGGCGGUACUCGCAGAAGAAGCACCGGCUAACUCCGUGCCAGCAGCCGCGGUAAUUC
rnacentral:rRNA from 1 species